rnacentral:rRNA from 1 species
CGGGUGAGUAAUAUAUCGGAACGUGCCCAGUAGUGGGGGAUAGCCCGGCGAAAGCCGGAUUAAUACCGCAUACGACCCACGGGUGAAAGGGGGGAUCGCAAGACCUCUCGCUAUUGGAGCGGCCGAUAUCAGAUUAGCUAGUUGGUGGGGUAAAAGCUCACCAAGGCGACGAUCUGUAGCUGGUCUGAGAGGACGACCAGCCACACUGGGACUGAGACACGGCCCAG